rnacentral:RNase_P_RNA from 1 species
AGCGCGAACCGGGCGGUCGCUGCUUCGUGCUUUAAUCGGCGCGGGGGAGAGGAAAGUCCGAACACUACAGAGCAGCGAGCCAGCUAACGGCUGGGCGCGCGAUGAAUUAAACGGCCUUUGAGGUUUGUUGAUUUAUCGUGUGACGACAAGUGCAACAGAGAAGAGUCCAGCCAACGCGUUUAAUAAUUUUGAGUUUCGCGCGUUGGUGAUGGGUGAAACGGUGCGGCUUCUGAGUAAUGAAGCUUAAUGUAAGAGCGCACCAGCGCGCGUGGCGACACGAGACGCGGCUAGGCAAACUCCUCGCAGUGCAAGACCAAAUAGGGAGACGAUUCAAGGGCGGCUCGUCCGAACGGAAGCUUACAAGGCUUCCUUACGUCUCCGGGUAGGUCGCUCGAUCCGUUUGGCAACAAACGGGCUAGAUGAAUGAUCGCUGCUUCGCCUUGAAAAAGCGGAGAACAGAAUUCGGCUUACAGGUUCGCGCUUCUU